CCAGGAGACUUGCCCAGCAACCCUAGCCGCCACCUCCCUUUUCCCUCUCUCACGCAAAGCAGCACGGCGCUCACGCGCCGCCGUCGCAGGGACGCGAGGAGACGUGGGCUUCGAAGCCCGCUCUCCCGACACCGAUGGCAUGUCGGCGACGGGAUGGGGAAGACGGCGGCAACGCAGUAAUGUGGCGAGGAAGAGAUGAAUCUCUUGGUCCAAAGGAUGAUGUCUCGCUCCAUAUUUAUACACACGUCGCACGCAGCAAAUAGGAAAGCAAUCAAUCACAGUAUUAUGGAAACAUUACCUGUCGUUUACGCACUUACCAUAAUACGAGAAUAAUUUCUUACCAAA